rnacentral:sRNA from 1 species
AUGCACCCCGCGGACACGCCGGUUGCUGCGCGCCGUCCACGUUUACCUGACGACCGCUUGCUACGGGUUGCCAACC